GCUUUGGUGGUUCAAUGAUAGAAUUCUCACUUUCGAUGCAGGAGACCUGGGUUCAAUUCCUGGCCACUGCA
rnacentral:tRNA from 1 species